AACGAACGCUGGCGGCAGGCUUAACACAUGCAAGUCGAACGCAUCGCAAGAUGAGUGGCAGACGGGUGAGUAACGCGUGGGAAUCUACCCAGUUCUACGGAACAACAGUUGGAAACGACUGCUAAUACCGUAUACGCCCUAAGGGGGAAAGAUUUAUCGGAAUUGGAUGAGCCCGCGUAAGAUUAGCUAGUUGGUGGGGUAAUGGCCUACCAAGGCGACGAUCUUUAGCUGGUCUGAGAGGAUGAUCAGCCACACUGGGACUGAGACACGGCCCAGACUCCUACGGGAGGCAGUAGUGGGGAAUAUUGGACAAUGGGCGCAAGCCUGAUCCAGCCAUGCCGCGUGAGUGAUGAAGGCCUUAGGGUUGUAAAGCUCUUUCACCGAUGAAGAUAAUGACGGUAGUCGGAGAAGAAGCCCCGGCUAACUUCGUGCCAGCCGCCGCAGUAAUAC
rnacentral:rRNA from 1 species